CAGCCGCCACGGUAAUACGAAAGGUCCAAGCGUUACUCGGAAUUACUGGGCGUAAAGCGCGCGUAGGCGGUCUUGUAUGUCGAUUGUGAAAGCCCCGGGCUCAACCUGGGAACUGCAGUCGAAACUGCAAGACUUGAAUGUUGGAGAGGUUGGGGGAAUACCUAGUGGAGAAGUGAAAUUCGUAGAGAUUAGGUGGAACACCAGAGGCGAAGGCGCCUGACUGGCCAAACAUUGACGCUAAGGCGCGAAAGCGUGGGUAGCAAACAGGAUUAGAGACCCCCGUAGUCCCUGUCUCUUAUAC
rnacentral:rRNA from 1 species